UGGGGAAUAUUGCACAAUGGGCGCAAGCCUGAUGCAGCCAUGCCGCGUGUAUGAAGAAGGCCUUCGGGUUGUAAAGUACUUUCAGCGAGGAGGAAGGCGUUGUGGUUAAUAACCACAGCGAAUUGACGUUACUCGCAGAAGAAGGCACCGGUCUAACUCCGUGCCAAGCAGCCGCGGUAAUACGGAGGGUGCAAGCGUUAAUCGGAAUUACUGGGCGUAAAGCGCACGCAGGCGGUCUGUCAAGUCGGAUGUGAAAUCCCCGGGCUCAACCUGGGAACUGCAUCCGAAACUGGCAGGCUAGAGUCUUGUAGAGGGGGUAGAAUUCCAGGUGUAGCGGUGAAAUUGCGUAGAGAUCUGGAGGAAUACCGGUGGCGAAGGCGGCCCCC
rnacentral:rRNA from 1 species